rnacentral:rRNA from 1 species
GAGUUUGAUCUUGGCUCAGAUUGAACGCUGGCGGCAUGCCUUACACAUGCAAGUCGAACGGCAGCAUGAUCUAGCUUGCUAGAUUGAUGGCGAGUGGCGAACGGGUGAGUAAUACAUCGGAACGUGCCCUGUAGUGGGGGAUAACUAGUCGAAAGAUUAGCUAAUACCGCAUACGACCUGAGGGUGAAAGUGGGGGACCGCAAGGCCUCAUGCUAUAGGAGCGGCCGAUGUCUGAUUAGCUAGUUGGUGGGGUAAAGGCCCACCAAGGCGACGAUCAGUAGCUGGUCUGAGAGGACGAUCAGCCACACUGGGACUGAGACACGGCCCAGACUCCUACGGGAGGCAGCAGUGGGGAAUUUUGGACAAUGGGCGAAAGCCUGAUCCAGCAAUGCGCGUGUGUGAAGAAGGCCUGG